rnacentral:rRNA from 1 species
CAGCAGCCGCGGUAAUACGUAGGUGGCAAGCGUUGUUCGGAAUAACUGGGCGUAAAGGAUGCGUAGGCGGUUACAUAAGUUAUAUGUUAAAUAUAUGGGCUUAACCCGUAGAGAGCAUAUAAAACUGUGUAACUAGAGUGCAGGAGAGGUAAGUGGAAUUCCUAGUGUAGCGGUGAAAUGCGUAGAGAUUAGGAAGAACACCAGUGGCGAGGGCGACUUACUGGACUGUAACUGACGCUGAGGCAUGAGAGCAUGGGGAGCAAACAGGAUUAGAUACCCUGGUAGUCCAUGCUGUAAACGAUGGGUACUAGGCGUGGGUUGUGAAUAGCAAUCCGUGCCGUCGCAAACGCAAUAAGUACCCCGCCUGGGGAGUACGAUCGCAAGAUUAAAACUCAAAGGAAUUGACGG